rnacentral:rRNA from 1 species
CCUACGGGGGGCAGCAGUGGGGGAUAUUGCACAAUGGGGGAAACCCUGAUGCAGCGACGCCGCGUGGGUGAAGAAGCGCCUCGGCGCGUAAAGCCCUGUCAGCAGGGAAGAAAAUGACGGUACCUGAAGAAGAAGCCCCGGCUAACUACGUGCCAGCAGCCGCGGUAAUACGUAGGGGGCAAGCGUUAUCCGGAUUUACUGGGUGUAAAGGGGGCGCAGACGGCGAUGCAAGCCAGGAGUGAAAGCCCGGGGCCCAACCCCGGGACUGCUCUUGGAACUGCGUGGCUAGAGUGCAGGAGGGGCAGGCGGAAUUCAUGGUGUAGCGGUGAAAUGCGUAGAUAUCAGGAGGAACAGCGGUGGCGAAGGCGGCCUGCUGGACUGCAACUGACGUUGAGGCCCGAAAGCGUGGGGAGCAAACAGGAUUAGAUACCCCAGUAGUC